CAGCAUGUUAGUCAGAGGAACUGAAGCUUGUCCUCCUGAGCUGAAGAAGCCCUGCAGCUGAAUUCAAGUCAGUGAAGAAUACUGAAGAGCCAGAGCUAAUGUGAAGCUACCAGCAUGAGGCACGGACUGCAGAUGGCCUGUCAGAAGGUCACACACAGGAACACUCACAACAGAUUUGACAAAACACAAAGAAGGUGCCAAUGUGUGAUUUCUAAGGAUAGGUACAGCACUUGACCCAAGCUUUAAGAAUCUGAAGUGCCUUUCAAAAUCUGAGAGGGAUGAGGUGUGG